ACAAGGUAGCCGUACCGGAAGGUGCGGCUGGAUCACCUCCUUUCUA
rnacentral:rRNA from 1 species